UACAGAGGUCUCAAGCGUUGUUCGGAUUCAUUGGGCGUAAAGGGUGCGUAGGUGGCGCCAUAAGUCAGGUGUGAAAUCUCGGGGCUUAACUCCGAAACUGCAUUUGAUACUGUGGUGCUUGAGGACUGGAGAGGAGACUGGAAUUUACGGUGUAGCAGUGAAAUGCGUAGAGAUCGUAAGGAAGACCAGUGGCGAAGGCGGGUCUCUGGACAGUUCCUGACACUGAGGCACGAAGGCCAGGGGAGCAAAACGGG
rnacentral:rRNA from 1 species